rnacentral:lncRNA from 1 species
UUUUUUUACAUAUCUAUUUAUUUAAGUAAUCUCUACACCCAAUAUGGGACUUGAACUCAGGAACCCAAGAGCAAAAGUUUGUAUGCUCUACUGACUGAGCCAGCAAGGUGUGCCUUGUCCAUUGCUUCAUUUUGAAGGCAGCUGCCUGGUAUCUGACCCAGGGCAGUCACAUUACAGCAAUUGUGUGUCUGCCAUCCUGCAGGCCACAGCCACCUACAUGCAAGCACACACACACACACACACACACACAUGAACAUACAGUGAAACUACACAGUUUCCAAAGAGCAAACUGUGUUUCUAGUAACAAACCACAGUCUGCCUCUAGGACGUGUGACCAGGCUCUGCCCCGAGAGAGAAGGCUCGCACGGGAAGUGUUCCUGCCCAGAGCCGGCAGCCAGGCCUCCAGGCUGUUCUCGGCAAGUCCCGACAGGAUGCCAGGCGGGCUGGCGGGCAGGAAGAGAUGCCUAUCCGAACCUCUCCCUGUUGUAAUUUACCAAACCCAUCUGGGGCUCCUUUGAGUUGUUUUCUGGAAAUGCCACAUUUCGAGGGUCUCCCCAUUAGAAAAGGUCAAGGAGUUCACACAGGCCUUUCAUGUUAAGGAACUUGAAAGAAAAGGAAAGGAAAAGCACAUUUUCAGCCUUAGCUGCGAUGAGGUGGGCCCAGGUCAUGAGAACACUUAGAGGGCUUACAUGACGUUACACGAAGAGCCAAUUAACCUAACAACUUCCGAAGACUAUCUAGCUCAGGAGCACCCAUUUAUUAGAGCGCUUGGAAUGUGCCAGGCCUUGCAUUAAGCUCUUUCCUAGGAUACGGAAAUCAGCUCCGUAUCACUCCUGCAGCACAAGGCAGCCUUGGGGGCUGAUACCCAUUUUACCCAGGAGGAAGCUGAGGCUCAGAGAGGAUCAGUGAUUUGUCUGGAAUCCCCCAGCUCAUCAAAGGUAGGGCAGGGAUGCAAACCCAGGUCUGCCCAAAUCCAAAGCUGGAGCUCCCUUGAUCAGACCCUCAACCCUUGUGAGCUCUGACUGUGUCCUACAUUCAGCCUCUGAAGACAGCACAUGUCCACCUAGCUCAUGCGCAUGUCGAUGAAACCUCACUAAAUCUUCAGGUCUGGGGGCACCUGGGUGACUCAGUUAAGUGACUCCAACACUUGGUUUCAGCUCAUGUGGUGAUCUCCUUGGUCCGGAGAUUGAGCCCCAGGUGGAGCUCCCAACUACAUACUAGGCAUGGAGUGAGCCUGAAGAUUCGCUCCCUCUGCCCCUCCCCCCAUGUGCAUGUGCCCAUCAUGGGCGUGUGCGCACACACACAUUCUCUCUCUCAAAUAAAUAAAUAAAUAAAUCCUCAGCUCUGUUCUGGAUUUCAUGUGUCCGGAAGGCUCCAGGGCCUCCCUGCAGAAGACUCUGGCCCUCAUCCUGAAAUUCCCUGGUCACCACUAGAGGGGGAGCCAUAGCAGAUCCCACUUACCACCCUGUGGAAGAACCCCAGGGCCAUUGUUCCCUUAUGGGCUCUGAGUCAGUGCCCAGAGUGGGUAGUGUAGGGUGGACCCAGAGAUGGUACAGACUGAGGUCUGACUCAAGGGAAACACUGGGCCCUCCUAUCUAGCUAGCAAAGAGCUUGAGCCACCCUAUGCAGACCAACCAGAGAGAUUCCCCCGUCCUCCUGGUGGUCUCUCCAAGCAACAUCAGCCACCCUGAAAGUCAGGAUUCAAUUAGUCACAGCUCAUUCAUCAGCAUUUGUCUGCAGAGACCACAAACCAGAUAAGAGCACUCCUCUGGAAGUUAAAGAUCAUGAUAGAACACUACAGUGUGGUAGUUAGGGUGAGGAUUCCAGAGUCAGACUGUCAGGCUUUUGGAAUUCUGAUACUCUCACUUCCAAGCUGUGAGAUCCUGGGUGACUUAUUCAACCUCUCUAAGCUUUGGUUUCCUCAUUUGUGAAUGGGGAUAAUAGUCCCUAUGUCACAGAAUUGGUAGGAUGAUUAAAUGAAAUGAUGUGUGUGUGAAGCUCUUGAUUUGAUGCCUGGCACAUAGCAAUCACUCAGUAAUAGGAAGUCACUGUGCAGAUGGUAAUGAUGAUGUUGAUGAUGAUGAUGAUGAUGAUGAUGAUAGAAUCAGUGUUGGCCAGACGAGGGGCUGCUGCAGGGCCAUGCCUGCCUUUUGUGGACAAGCCCAAGCUCCUUUCCCUAUUUCUCCAAGCCUUCCAGAGGCUUCCAGGUCCAGACGAAGUUUGCCUCCUCCAGGAAGCCCAUCUGACCACUCCAGCCACAUUCAUCUACCAUAUCUGAGCUCCUUCUGCCCAUGGUCUGAACACAUUAAUAACUAACAAAUAUAGCUCUAAUAACCUCUCUGCUUCUCAAGCAGACAAUACCUCCUGGGGAAGAGGAACCCCACCACUGCCUCUCCCCUCUCUACAGCCUGAGUCAAGGGUUAGGUACGCAGUAGAUUCUCCU